GACGAACGCUGGCGGCGUGCUUAACACAUGCAAGUCGAACGGAAAGGCCCUGCUUUUGUGGGGUGCUCGAGUGGCGCACGGGUGAGUAACACGUGAGUAACCUGCCCUUGACUUUGGGAUAACUUCAGGAAACUGGGGCUAAUACCGGAUAGGAUCUCCUGCUGCAUGGGGGGGGUUGGAAAGUUUCGGCGGUUGGGGAUGGACUCGCGGCUUAUCCGCUUGUUGGUGGGGUAGGGGCUUACCAAGGCUUUGACGGGUAGCCGGCCUGAGAGGGUGACCGGCCACAUUGGGACUGAGAGACGGCCCAGACUCCUACGGGAGGCAGCAGUGGGGAAUAUUGCACAAUGGGCGGAAGCCUGAUGCAGCAACGCCGCGUGCGGGAUGACGGCCUUCGGGUGGUAAACCGCUUUCGCCUGUGACGAAGAGUGAGUGACGGUAAUGGGUAAAGAAGCACCGGCUAACUACGUG
rnacentral:rRNA from 1 species